UGCCAGCAGCUGCGGUUAGACCGAAUGAAUGGGUGGAGGCACAGAGCAUAAGUAGUUAUGAGAGAAUCUUUUGGUGAGUUAUUAUUAGCGCAAGGAAAGGUUGAAAUCUGAAACUUCUUAGAAUAAAAAGCAAACCAAAAGAGUUACAGAAGCUACGAAAGCCUGGAGUUAAACCAGGAUUAGAUACCCUGUUAUACCAGGUCGAAAAAACAAAUGCUUGGGUAGUAACAGCUAUGAGCUUGAAAACCAAAAGAUUUGGCGGUAUCCUAACCAAAUUAGAGGAACCUGUCCCUUAAUACGAUACACCACGUUAUAUCUUACUUUGUUUAGUUUACAGUUUCUAUACCGCCAUGGUUGGUUUCGCUUUAAAGCAAUUACCAAAAUAGGGUGUUUAACUCUAAGAGAUUUGGUCGAGGUUGAGCCUAUAACAAAGUGGGAGAUGGGUUACAAUAUAAUUUAUAUAUUUACGGAUAAGAAGAGUGAAACCUCUCUUUGAAGUCGGAUUUAACAGUAAUUUAAGUUUAAUAUGCUUAAAUGAAGGUGCUCUAGGAUGUGUACAGAUCGCCCGUCGCCCCCGCUUCCAAAGGUGAGAUAAGUCGUACAAAGGAGGUGCGGAUUAAUCC
rnacentral:rRNA from 1 species